AUUUCGCUGGGCGUCCAAAUUUGGGUAGUUCUGAAUCUUUAACUCUUUGGCGACCUGGAUAACCGGCAAAUAUAACAACACCAUCAAUAGAAACCCUGGCCAGUUCCGGAAGAGUUUUGUUAAGGUAUCUGGGAGACAAGUAAUCUAAUGCAUCUGAAACAAUGACGAGAGAAAACGACUUUGCUCUAUAUGGCAGGGGAAACUUAAUAUCAGCAGCACGCACGAUGCCCUUCCGCACAAGACUUUUGCAACUGGCAUCAGCAUCAUCUAAGUCAUAGGGCUCCACACCCCAUGCUUCUGUAUCCUCUUCUUUCAAUAAUUUAGACACCACUGAACAAG
rnacentral:misc_RNA from 1 species